rnacentral:lncRNA from 1 species
UUCUAUUUCAACUGUCAAAAGUAAAGACAAAUAAGUUAAUGGGACCUGAUGGAAUACACCCAAAGUUAUUAAAAGAGCAUAGUGGUGUACUAGCAAAACCAUUAACAGAGUUAUUUAACCAAUCAUUGUUAACAGGAGUAGUCCCAGAAGAUUGGAAGUCAGCGAAUGUUGUGCCCAUUCACAAGAAAGGUAGUAGGGAGGAUUCGGGCAACUACAGGCCAGUAAGCCUUACUUCAGUAGUGGGGAAAGUAAUGGAAACCAUGUUAAAGGAUAGGAUUGUUGAACAUCUAAAACCACAUGGAUUCCAAGAUCAGAGACAACAUGGGUUUACUUCAGGAAGAUCCUGCCAAACUAAUCGUAUUGAUUUUUUUGAUUGGGUAACUAAAAUAAUAGACCAGGGUGGUGCAGUAGACAUUGCUUACCUAGAUUUCAGUAAGGCUUUUGACACUGUUGCACAUAGAAGGCUUAUCAAUAAAUUGUAAUCUUUAAGUUUGGAUUCCAAUGUUGUUGAAUGGGUAAGGCAGUGGCUAAGUGACA